GCUGUGGCGACUGUCCGGGCCAAAGCUCAGGCAGCUGGAAGUAUCAGUGAAGCCAGAAGAUUCUAGCUGUUCAGGGUCUGUGAGGAGGAGUCAAGGUCUGGGGUUUGUGUCCUCUGGCAUAGCAAUGGCACUGCAAUGGGGGAGCCUGUUGCUGGGCUGGGCCAUCUCGCCACUGUCACCUGCCUGUUGAGGGGUGACGGUGGUUGUUGAGAGGCUGGAUCAGACCCCAGAGGUGACAUGGAUGUGGCAUAUUUGUUGGACUUACACAGCCUUGCAUUUUAUUUUCAUCUCUGUUCCUUCCUCCCAUGAGAUCUUGGGUGGUGUUUAUCAACCCUGAGUAAUCGUUUCUUUGUCUGCAAGAUGGAAUAAAAAGGCCUACCUCAUUGGGCUCGUGUGGGUGAGGAGAACUGAAGAGUCUGAGAGCGCGGCACGAGCCAGAGGCUACGGAAAACACUGCCCUCCUACACUCCACCUUGGAGAGACCCAGAAAAGAACAAGCUUCAUUUGUAAAAAAGGAAAACAACUCAGGCAAUGGGGGUGGCUUAAAGGCACUCUACAGUGUGCAGAUGCCUUCCACUUCUUCCAUCUGCCCUGUCUCUCCAAGAACCCCUAUGGCCCCGGUCUCAGAACAGAGCUGAGUGCAGAAAUGAAAAUCUAUGGCUCUGUGUUCCAAAACGAUGAAGAAUUUCAAGAUGGUGGCAGUGGUAAAAUCUUUCUCCAGGAAAAAUCUGUCCUUGGCCCAAUGUGUAAACACUUGCUGAGUAUUGUGAAACCAGCAACUUGUUCACAAUUCUUCUGAAUUUCUUGGGAAAUUUGAAGUGGAGUACCUGUACCAACAUGAAAUGACACGAAUUUAAGUGACGCUCAACAACGAAAAGCAAAAAGAACCAAAGAGGAAGCAACUGAAACAACAUCUGGAUGUAUUUAAAAAUAUACAAUGCCUCCAAAAUCAGGUGUCAUUAAUGAAAAUUCUGAAGAAAUGCCACCGGACAUAGCCAACGCACCUACGCUGUUGUUAUUCAUUUCCUGCUUUUCACAGAAAACAAUUUUGUUGCAUGGAAGAUCGUGAACUUCAAAGGGCAGAGGGGAAACUGUCCCUUGGCCUCUACCCCUCCAAGGCCCCACUUUUUUGUCAACACUCCUUGGACGCAGCAGAAGUAUGAACAUAAUAUGGUCCUGAAUGAGGCUGAGUCUUUGGGCGCAGAAGACCCGGGUUAAUAAAAAUAGGAAGGUAAGAAAAGAAAAGAAAAAUCAAGACACAUCAUAGGACUAAAUUCCUAUUAUUUAUCCACUCAGGAUUGACCACCCCUUUGGGCCAGAUAGUUGUACCCCCAUGUACCAGGUGGGCACAUGAAGACACAAGAAGUGCUGUGAUGGUUCAUUUUGCACGUCACCUUGCGUGGAGUAUGCCAACUCAUUGUUUGGUCAAACACUAGUCUGGACAUGGUGGUAAAGGUAUUUUUUAGAUGAGAUUAACACUUAAAUCAGUAAAGCAGGUUACCCACCAUACUACGGGUGGGCCCUGUCCAAUCAGUUGAAGGCAUUAAGAACAAAGAUUGAGGUUUCCUAAAGAAGAUGGAAUUCUCCUUGAGACUACAACAUAGAAACCCUAUCUGAGUUUCCAGCCUGUUGCCCUGUGGAAUUCAAACUCAGGACUCCGGUCUAUGACAUUAACCCUCACUUAACUUUUCAGCCUGCCAGCCUGCCCUAUGGAUUUCGGACUUGCCAGCCACACAAUUCCUUAAAAUAAAUCUCUCCGUCUCUG
rnacentral:lncRNA from 1 species